UACGUAGGGGGCAAGCGUUGUCCGGAUUCAUUGGGCGUAAAGAGCGUGUAGGCGGCCAGGUAGGUCGGUUGUGAAAACUGGAGGCUCAACCUUCAGAGGUCGACCGAAACCAUCUGGCUAGAGUCCGGGAGAGGAGAGUGGAAUUCCCGGUGUAGCGGUGAAAUGCGUAGAUAUCUGGAGGAAUACCGGUGGCGAAGGCGGCAUCCUGGACCGGCAUUGACGCUGAACAGCGAAAGCUAGGGGAGCAAACGGG
rnacentral:rRNA from 1 species